rnacentral:RNase_P_RNA from 1 species
GCAGUUUAUUAGACGAUCGCUUGUAGCAUAUACAAGAGGAAAGUCCGGGCAGCGUAGGAUACGGCAGUUGCUAACGGCAACCGGGGGUAACCCUAGGGAAAGUGCCACAGAAACGAUACCGCCUCGAUUAUAACCAGUCUUGCAAGGUCCUUUCGGGGCUCGGCAAUCACUGAGAGGUAAGGGUGAAACGAGUGAGGUAAAGGCUCACAGCGACGUAUGGCGACAUACGGAGGAGGUAAACCCUGUCGGCUGCAAGGAGGUCUGUAUAAAGAGUGAUCCGCUCGCAGGCCGAUAUCCGCUCGAUUUUUUCGGCAACGGAAAGACUAGAUAGAUGAUCGUCCACGACAGAACCCGGCUUACCGAUAGACUGCCAAC